rnacentral:tRNA from 1 species
UGGGUCGUUAGCUCAGGUGGUAGAGCACUUGACUUUUAAUCAAGGUGUCACAGGUUCGAGUCCUGUACGACCUAU